UCUGCACCGAGCCUCUGAGUGCAGCGCUGCAGGAACCAGGCCUGCAGGCACAGCCCUCGGCUUGGGCUUGCAUCGCAAGGGCUCUUUUCCCUGGUGAUCAGCCAGGUGGUGUUCCCCAGCUGAGGCCAGUCCUGUGUCUCCAGGAGUGCUGUGCAAGAAGCCAGCGAGGGCGAUCGCUGCCUGUGUGCUCGGAGAGGAGAAAGAGCCUGAGCAAGGCACGCAGCCUCCACCCGGAGAGGCUGCAGCCACUCACAGGCUGAGGGUAAGGGAGCGUGAAGAAAGAUAAGGAGCUAAAAUGAGAAUAAAACGAAGGUGGUAGACGCAGCGCAGACGUCUAAUCAAAGGAAAUUCAUUAGUUUGUCAGGCAUAGGCAAUGGGAGCGGAGUCAGCAGCCCGGGAGGUUGAAUGCAGUCGCUAGCAGUGGAGCAGAGCAAAUGGAAAUUAAUUCUCCUUCUCCGUGCAGACUCAGACGGGGCCCAGCCGAGGCCCUGGGGCUGAAGGACCAGGACGGGUGCCUGGGCACGCCGCAGCUGCCCGUGCCCGGGGGAGCAGGGAGGGCCCCAGCCAGGAGCAAAUCGAGGUGCUGUGGUACUGGGGGUCGAAGCAGCCUGCAGCCCACUGCCCUCCGUCCCUCCACAGCAGCCCCUCCAUGCAGUGAAUCCCCCCGUGGGCACGUGCUGAGCCCAGGCUGCCUCCCUGCCUGCACGUCACCGGCACAGCCCUCGGCCUCGGUGGGAAUCGGUGCAUGAAUUACCCUGACAACACAGCAGAAGCGCUGGCAGAUUGAUGAUCGCACACCAAACCUUCGGGAGGUGACAGCAGAUUGCAAGCAGCUCCUGGCUCCCCGGUCUUUAAUAAGCAGCUGAGCACGAAGGCUGCAGUGCGAUAAGGAGAGGUUUGGCUUCACCUCCAGGUGCUGCAUCCCCUCGUCCUGCUCUGACCGUCACACACCGCUGUCCGGGGCCUCCUCGGAGGACGGGAGCACGAGCGACUCACCCCGGGAGCCCCAGCGAGGCCCUGCAAAUUAAUUAAGCUUUGCAGCCCCCCUGUGAGAUGCUAAGGUAAUUGCGAUGCUCAAGCCCUGGGAGGCCACACACCACCAGGCCCUUCUCGUUCCCUUCUUUCUUUAUGAGGCUGGUUUUGGAGGACAGACACCGAGAAAUGGAGAACCUGUGCACGCAACCACGCAGUCCUUUACAGGGAGGUGAAGCUGAGCUGUGGAAGCUGAGAACAGAUAUCUGCAAAAUAUCCAUCAAAAAGGAGAAAAAGGCCCUGCUUUCUGAGAGGGAAAUUAAUUUUGACAUCUUAAUUAUAAGCUGGAGGAAAGGUUGGUGCUGGAAUAGUGAGCUUUGAAGAUUAUUAUAUUGUCAUUAUUCAUUAAUGACUACUAAAGUAACUGGCUCUAAAUGGUAGUGGUAAAGUGUAAUGGCAGAUCUAUGAAGCUGCUCUUAUAUCCCCUUUGUUCCAAAGGAGUCCUUUACUAUUAGGCUGAUAACAAAAACCAGCAGCACUGAUAAGGCUUUGGCCCACAGUGACAUGUAUCGCUGUACAAACACCACCAGGGAAAAAAAAAAUCUAGAAAAUUGUUCUUGUUGUGUUUCAAGCAAUAAUUCUAACACUGAAUUAAAAUAAAAGAGGACUUUGAGAACUGCAGAUGUCAUAACGGAGAGGAAGGAUUGAAGGAAAAAAAUCUUAGGGCAAGGUGUCCCCCCAGUGCUCCUUGAGGAACGGUGGGAUUUGUGAAUGGCCUGAAAGCAGGACGGCCUCCGAAGCCUGCAAAACGGAGGGGAUGAAAAUCUCUCUGCGGAUCUCUGCUGAGCCCUAGGUACAUUUUUUGCCAAAUUCUUCAUCUACAAUAGCUGUAUCUGGAUGACCCCUCCCUCAAGGUGAAGUCUAUUCUGUCAGAACAUUAUUUGAUCUCUUCUGCUAAAAUGUAAAUUAACUUAAACUCGGUGUAAGGAGCUUAUUUCAGUAUAAGCUGUAAUUACUGCUGGGGCUAUAAAAAAAUCUUUCUUUAAAACUUUUAUCAAAGUUAUUCUGUGUUGUUAUUGCUUUCUGUGAUGUGUCUGGAUUUUCCAAACAGCAAAUAAUUCUGCACUUAUCUUAGUUCCUUUGAUAAUAUUUUUUAUGACAGAUCUUCUGCGACUCUAACUACAUUAUUAACAUUAAAGAAAGAAGAAUGGGGACAGUCUUUUCUAAAUAUGCCUGUAAAAAAUCUUGUGUGGCAUUGCUGCUGCUUAAACACUAGUCGUGGAAAAACAAGAAAUGCUCUUGCAGUGGGAUCGCUGUGACAGGAGGGGCCUGGAUGGCUGCUCCCCCCCGAUUUCUGCUUCACAGCCAGCCUCGGUGCUGUGAUGGCAAUAGGUUGUGUCUGAGAGACGGGAACAGGCUGCAGGACAGCCUUUAAAGUACUUGUGGGACUACUGGGGCCCGGUGCGUGGAAGGCAGUGGUUUGGAGGAGUGGGAAUCUGUUCCCAAGAAACCGGCUUCUCCCUCCGCGUUGGGUAGGGAAAUUCCCGUACAGAACAGGGAGGUUGCAGCGCUGCUCUGCCACCAGGACCGGCUCCUCCUCGUGUCCCCAGCUGCUCGUGCAGCUGAUACCCAGUUAUGAAAGUGUCUGGUGGAAAGGAGUCAGGAGGGAGCUGGGGAUUACAUUUAUCAGGCAGAGACUGGGGUAGGCUUUUGGGCCGUGUCAGCUAUCCCAAAUCCCUGCGAAUGGGGCUACGAAACUUGACAAGGCAGCUUCAGAUAUUUCAGAUCCCAUUAAAGAUGUAAAACCACUGACAGAGCUGAAACGCUUACAGAUGCUAACCCGGCUUCUCGUGAAGUCAUCUGACACCAGGGAGAAGGUUCAAGCAGAGGAUUUUAGCAAGCGAUCGUCAGAGACACGCAGAAGCGGAGUGUAACGGCUGAAUUGAUAAACACGGUAAGACUCGACAAAGCCAAUAGCUUCUGAAGUUUGAUUUGUUUUAGGUAAGCUCUGAGGAGGCGAUGUUUGCAACAGCAGGUUCUGUUCCUGUGAAUGAUUACGGGGUCACGGAUGGAAAGCUCUCCCUCUGGUACACAAGUGGACAAACAAGCGAGCCCAGUCUGAAAGAGCAAGAGACCAACCGGGUUUCCUAACGCCUGAAUUUUGUCUCGUUUGAGUCAAAAAGUACUUCCUGAUCUUGCAGCAGUCCCGAUUGUUCUGCAAAGCACUAAGCUCCAGACCCAGACCCAAACACUCCAUUACUACUUCCAGGCUCUAAAUCCAGCACACAGACUUCAAACCCGUGCUUGGCUGUGAUUCCCCGUGGCUGCGUGGCUCUCGGUUCGCUGCUCAGGCCUUUAUCCCCGCUUUGCAUUCGUCGGCAUCCCCAGCGCUUGAUCACACUGCUCCAAAGACACGUAGCGUGUGUCCCAGAGCGAGCAGCAGAGGGGUUUAGACUGUGGCUUUAUUCACAUUGACAAGUCCUCUUAGUUCAUUUCUUUGACUCUGCUAUACAGAAAGCUACAGUGGCAGCCAGCCGCGCUUAGAGCAGGCACAUGUGGAGCGAUCUCUGCAGUUCCUUCUCUGUUUGGUACCUCCUGACUUCAGCACGAGCUGCACAGGGAACAGCAAAGCAGAUGAGCGGUGCUUGAGAGCCCAUCGCUGCAUGCUCUGUGUGUGUCUCCAUUACAAGUGCUGAUGGGGGCUGUUUCCCCUCUUGCAGCAGUGCCUUGUUUGUUGUUCUCUCCCCCCAUUUUUUAUUAUUUUUUUUUCCAGAUGGAGGACAGCUAAACACCCUGCCACUGCACAACGCCCCUGAGCGCAGGAGCAGACUCGUCAGUUGUCCACGCUUUUCACCUGCUGGUAGAAAUGCCCAUAUUGAGCAAGCACAACAACUAUUGGUUUUUUAAACAUGUUCCCCAUAGCAAUGAUCUGUCUAUACACCAGCCUCCUUUCAUAGAGGCUUCUUUCAUUUUAUAAGCAUUAGUUUAAAGGAACUCAUGUUCUUUCAGGAAUGAAAUAUUGUUGGAUAUGCAGCUGGGAAAUUGAGGCAUGCUGAAGGUAUGACUGGAAUUAAUUUACUGUAACAUCUUAGCCAAAGCACAGUAAAUUCCCAGACCACUGCUCCUGUUGUUUGAAAACUUAACGUGAUUGUUUAUGAGAGUCAUUCAGUGCCUAUUGUAUGUAAUGAUCACUAAUUAAUAUCUGCAAUGCCCAAGGGUGUUUUUUAUUUUCGGAAGGGGGCAGAGAUAGGAGAGAAAGACAAAGUGAUGUAUGAAUGCUGCUGUUGCUGGUAUUGCCUCUUGCGUGCGUGCUGUGGCGGUGGCAUGUACUAAACAGAAGGACAGAGUGGCCUCGUAUCGCUGAGGUGUUGCUUGGUGCUGAUCUGCAGCCUGCUGGGGCUGAUCCGUUUUCUCAGGUGAGCAGUCCAGACACUGGGGCUUAGUCAGCCCUGGUUGACACAGAUCUCUAUUAAGACGUGGGUUUAUUCUCUGGGCUUUUUUGAAUUGUGACAAAAUUCACAUAAGAUUUGCUUGCAAAGCAGCUUUUGCUGCCAUCCUGAGUUAAUUUAUGAUGCGUUUAAAACUUUACCAUUAGAUAACUGUAUCCUAGGGUAACGCAAUUUUCAAAUAGACAAUCCUGGAUUUGUCUGCCCACAGCAUAGCAAGCGGCUGGCUUUGAACCACUCUACCCAACUGUGAUUUGUUUAGGCUUCCUCAGAGACACUUUGCUUACUGAAUAAUUUGUUACCCCAUGCUUGAGAUGAGUGCUUCUCUUCGAGAGGAGCACUGUGCCUGCUGCUCCUCCCUGGCAAGUAUUUUUGUUUGCCGUCAGUGCAGGGCAGUCACCCAUCAUCGCUGGUUCUCCCAAAAGUCCUGAGAGCAGUGCACUCAGAUGGUAUUGGUGUGAGACGGAGCUGCUGCACGCCCAGUCCCGUGGAGGUCAGGCAGUAUCACGCUUCUGCACAGGCAAAUAGCUCUGCAUGGGUGCAACUUGCUUUCAUUUUGUCCUUGCUGAAGGUGGAACUGUGCCUAUUUUGUGUGUGUUGCAUGAGCAUUGGGCUGGGUGUCUUCCCUUUGAACACAGGACUGACAAAUUGCAUGCAGCACAGGCAGUUGCAUUGCAAGCGCUGGGCACUGGGAGAACGACUCUGUAGGAGUCCAAAUGUAGCACCACAAUUCCCUUUCUGUCCUCUCCAAGAAAGCCUCUUCACACUCUAAUUAAACAGCAGUUUGACAUGUUUUUGCAGUUUUGAUUGCCUUUGAACUUUGGCAGUGUGAUAAACAAACGUCGCUUCCCUGCCUACCAGGAAGAUGCUGCUCCUUGAAGCAGUUUCUUGCCUUGGUUCUGGUACAGCAGAGCUCAGCACCGUGUUUGCACGGCAUCGUUUGUGAGCUGCUGCCAACAGCAGAGAAGGAUGGCAGCUGCCAUGGCCUGAUGUGAUGAACUGGAGAUGCCGGAGCGCUGUUUUUGCUUUGAUGGCCCCUUUUAGCUAGUCGAGAUUUCAAACGCUGGUGCUCGGUAAACACUUAAUUCUUCACAGCGCAGGAGGCUGGGGCUGGCGGCGCACAGCCCGCUCCUUCUGAUCGCUGCGAGGCGGUGCAGACGCCUCACACGUCUGUGAGCUGCAGUAAUUAGAGGGGAGAAGGAAGGCAGGACGAACGUACUCAUCGUCACGUGGCAUAAAUGAGAAUUAAAAUUGUCAGUCAGUUCUCUGAGCAGUUUGCUCACGUUUUGGAGUUUGUUAGCGACAGAAGUAGAGCUGAAUUCAGACAGGCAAAUGCCACGGGCACAAAGCAUAAAAUGAAGGGCUAUAAUGGAAGUGGGUUUGAGAGCACUGAUCUCAGCACAGAUUCUUGGAGCUGUCUUUGCUGAUACCUAUGAAGUAAAUAAAGCCUUCGGUUUAAGCGAUUCAGACUCAUUAAAUUACUUUGGAUUUCACUGAGGUAUUAGUUUCUGUCUAAGAACUCAUUCCCGGAAUAUUUUCCAUGGCAGAUUCCUUCAAAGGUGGCAGACUGACACAAAUCCUCAAAAUGCCAGUCUGAUCGCUCUGCUCUGUACCUCCCCAUCAUGUUUUCAGUUUCGAAAAUGCCUGGUUGGGUUUAAUUUCCUGGUAGGGACAUACGGAGGUAAGGCCAGCCAGUUUUGUGUGUGUGUGUGUGUGUGUGGCUAAUGAGGUUUGUUAACAUAUUGCAACGUGUCUCAGUUAGCAAUUAAAUUGGAAGUCAGAAGUGAGAAUAUAAAAACCUUCAUGUGCUUAAUGGUAAAUUAACCGUUUGCUUUCACAUGUGCAGGAUAUAUUGACGCACACAGAUAUAUGCAUAUGUGACUACGUCAGAGUAGGACUCGGGGAGGGUUAAUGUUUGAGGGCUUGGCACUGCUCCAUUCCCAGGAGUUUGUGGAGGGGAAGCGGGACAGUGGGGAGGAAGCAGCGAGGCAGAAACCCCCCGGCACAGCUCAGGGGCAGCAUCCCUGAACCUUGAGGGAGCGUAGAGCAGGACGAACGAUGAAGUGUGACGUGAAAUAAAAACGCUGUGAGGGGAAAAGCGCUGUGAGGGUCAUUGUAGGUGGCCAUACAACGCCUUUCCACGUGAGAAAAGGAUAAAGGAUAAAAAUUGUGGCAGAGGCUGAGGCUGGGCGUGCACAGGCCCUGCUGAGGGGACCCCUCCCCUCAGGCCCCUCAGGGCUGCGGGCGGGGGGCGGGGCCUCGCCGU